rnacentral:rRNA from 1 species
CUCAAGACUAAGCCAUGCAUGUCUAAGUAUAAACGCUUCUAUACUGUGAAACUGCGAAUGGCUCAUUAAAUCAGUUAUAGUUUAUUUGAUGGUUUCUUACUACUUGGAUAACCGUGGUAAUUCUAGAGCUAAUACAUGCACAAAGUCCCGACUUUAUGGAAGGGAUGUAUUUAUUAGAUCCAAAACCAAUGCGAGUCUUCGGGCUCGGUUCUUGGUGAUUCAUGAUAACUGCUCGAACCGUAUGGCCCUUGCGCCGACGGUGCUUCAUUCAAAUUUCUGCCCUAUCAACUUUCGAUGGUACGGUAGUGGCCUACCAUGGUUGCAACGGGUGACGGAGAAUUAGGGUUCGAUUCCGGAGAGGGAGCCUGAGAAACGGCUACCACAUCCAAGGAAGGCAGCAGGCGCGCAAAUUACCCAAUCCCGACUCGGGGAGGUAGUGACAAUAAAUAACAAUGCCGGGCUAUUGUAGUCUGGCAAUUGGAAUGAGUACAAUCUAAAUCCCUUAACGAGGAACAAUUGGAGGGCAAGUCUGGUGCCAGCAGCCGCGGUAAUUCCAGCUCCAAUAGCGUAUAUUAAAGUUGUUGCAGUUAAAAAGCUCGUAGUUGGAUUUCGGGGUGGCCUGCCUGGUCCACCGCAAGGUGAGUACUGGUCAGCCGCCCUUCCUCUCGAAAGCCCCGACUGCUCUUCACUGUAGUGGUCGGGUAGUUCGGGACGUUUACUUUGAAAAAAUUAGAGUGUUCAAGGCAGGCUAUCGCCUGAAUACAUUAGCAUGGAAUAAUGGAAGAGGACCUCGGUCCUAUUUUGUUGGUUUCUAGGGCCGAAGUAAUGAUUAAGAGGGACAGUUGGGGGCAUUCGUAUUUAAUUGUCAGAGGUGAAAUUCUUGGAUUUAUGAAAGACGAACUAGUGCGAAAGCAUUUGCCAAGGAUGUUUUCAUUAAUCAAGAACGAAAGUUAGGGGU